rnacentral:miRNA from 1 species
GUUGGGACAGGCAGGAUUGGGGAAACACUUUUUCCCUCAUUUGCCUGUUUUAGA